rnacentral:rRNA from 1 species
GACGAACGCUGGCGGCGUGCUUAACACAUGCAAGUCGAACGGAAAGGCCCUGCUUUUGUGGGGUGCUCGAGUGGCGAACGGGUGAGUAACACGUGAGUAACCUGCCCUUGACUUUGGGAUAACUUCAGGAAACUGGGGCUAAUACCGGAUAGGAGCUCCUGCUGCAUGGUGGGGGUUGGAAAGUUUCGGCGGUUGGGGAUGGACUCGCGGCUUAUCAGCUUGUUGGUGGGGUAGUGGCUUACCAAGGCUUUGACGGGUAGCCGGCCUGAGAGGGUGACCGGCCAGAUUGGGACAGAGAUACGGCCGAGACUCCUACGGGAGGCAGCAGUGGGGAAUAGUGCACAAUGGGCGGAAGCCUGAUGCAGCAACGCCGCGUGCGGGAUGACGGCCUUCGGGUUGUAAACCGCUUUCGCCUGUGACGAAGCGUGAGAGACGGUAAUGGGUAAAGAAGCACCGGCAAAAUAUGUG